rnacentral:rRNA from 1 species
GGGUAGUUUGACUGGGGCGGUCUCCUCCUAAAGAGUAACGGAGGAGCACGAAGGUUGGCUAAUCCUGGUCGGACAUCAGGAGGUUAGUGCAAUGGCAUAAGCCAGCUUGACUGCGAGCGUGACGGCGCGAGCAGGUGCGAAAGCAGGUCAUAGUGAUCCGGUGGUUCUGAAUGGAAGGGCCAUCGCUCAACGGAUAAAAGGUACUCCGGGGAUAACAGGCUGAUACCGCCCAAGAGUUCAUAUCGACGGCGGUGUUUGGCACCUCGAUGUCGGCUCAUCACAUCCUGGGGCUGAAGUAGGUCCCAAGGGUAUGGCUGUUCGCCAUUUAAAGUGGUACGCGAGCUGGGUUUAGAACGUCGUGAGACAGUUCGGUCCCUAUCUGCCGUGGGCGCUGGAGAACUGAGGGGGGCUGCUCCUAGUACGAGAGGACCGGAGUGGACGCAUCACUGGUGUUCGGGUUGUCAUGCCAAUGGCACUGCCCGGUAGCUAAAUGCGGAAGAGAUAAGUGCUGAAAGCAUCUAAGCACGAAACUUGCCCCGAGAUGAGUUCUCCCUGACUCCUUGAGGGUCCUGAAGGAACGUUGAAGACGACGACGUUGAUAGGCCGGGUGUGUAAG